AUUGGAUUGAACUAUCUACCAAACUAUAAAUGGCUUUGGAACGAAGAGGGUGAAUUGAGAUUUUCAAACUGGGAUAGUACAAGUCCAAAAAAAUAUGAAACAAAAUUCAACAACCAGUGUGUUCGUCAGUUUGCUUCAACAGGAUUGUGGCGCAAUCACGAUUGCAAACCUGGAUAUAAAUACGUUUGCCAGUCAGAUAUGGCCUUCAUUAAUAAAACAUGCACUAACGAAAUCUGCUCCAAUCACGGGAACUGCAUUAUGGCAACCGAGAACGACAGAUAUAAUUGCAAUUGCGAGCCAGGAUAU